rnacentral:rRNA from 1 species
GGAAUAUUGGGCAAUGGGGGAAACCCUGACCCAGCAACGCCGCGUGAGGGAAGAAGGUUUUCGGAUCGUAAACCUCUGUCCCAGGUGAAGAGAACGAGACGGUAGCCUGGGAGGAAGCCCCGGCUAACUACGUGCCAGCAGCCGCGGUAAUACGUAGGGGGCGAGCGUUGUCCGGAAUGAUUGGGCGUAAAGGGCGCGUAGGCGGCCCGGUAAGUCUGGAGUGAAAGUCCUGCUUUUAAGGUGGGAAUUGCUUUGGAUACUGUCGGGCUUGAGUGCAGGAGAGGUAAGUGGAAUUCCCAGUGUAGCGGUGAAAUGCGUAGAGAUUGGGAGGAACACCAGUGGCGAAGGCGACUUACUGGACUGUAACUGACGCUGAGGCUCGAAAGCAUGGGUAGCGAACA